UUCUUUAUUCAAGACAGAGGAUAAAACUAGUACAACUAGUCAAAAGAAAAAGCCUUCUGAAGGAAUGGUGUCUUCCAUUAGAAAAAGUAUGAAGCAGUCCUCACUGAUUGCUGAAGCAAAACAAAAGACUCAUGUAGCAAAGAAGAAAUACAACAAGCAGCUGAAGGACAAGAACCCAAAACUGUAUGACAAGCCACCUCAUUUAAGAUGAACAGCAAUGACUGUGUCCAUUAAUUGUGUACUUUAUGUUUUACACUGUUGUCUAAUUAUUUAAGAGAUGAGAUGGUACUAUACUGUAGCUAAA